rnacentral:lncRNA from 1 species
CGCUCACCCCGGGGCGCGCCGAGGCCACCGCAGGGCACUUACUUGGCACUUGCUUUUGAGUGUGCAGAUCGUCGCGGUUUUCACUUGGGUUUUCAAACAAGUUUCAGGGAGAAAGAAGGAGGCAAAAAAAAAAAAUCCAAUUAUGCAAAUGGACUCCGGACUGGGAGGCGCGGGAUGGAUCUGACGCCGCUACUGUACGAGUUCUCGGAGCAGCCCCGGGCCGGGCAGAUUUAUGGGGGCGCGUCACGGCUACGCCAGGUCCCGCCGCCGGAGCAUCUCGAAGUUAAUUAAAGCGGUGCUAGUGGAGAGGUUAAACUGCUGGAGAACUGUAGUUUCCAUCCCAGCACCAAAAGAACAGAGUCCAGAGUUUUCAGGGGCCACCAAGAGGAGCCAGAGAAGGGUGCCAACACAGUCCGUGGC